rnacentral:rRNA from 1 species
AUUAGAUACCCUGGGUAGUCCACGCAGUAAACGAUGAAUGCCGGCUGUUCGGGCCAACUGAGGCCUGAGUGGCGAAGCGAAAGCGAUAAGCAUUCCACCUGGGGAGUACGCCGGCAACGGUGAAACUCAAAGGAAUUGACGGGGGCCCGCACAAGCGGAGGAACAUGUGGUUUAAUUCGAUGAUACGCGAGGAACCUUACCCGGGCUCAAACGGGAGAUGACAGGCGCAGAGACGCGCUCUUCCACGGACAUCUUCCGAGGUGCUGCAUGGUUGUCGUCAGCUCGUGCCGUGAGGUGUCGGCUUAAGUGCCAUAACGAGCGCAACCCCCGCGGGCAGUUGCCAUCAGGUGAUGCUGGGGACUCUGCCCGGACUGCCGGCGCAAGCCGCGAGGAAGGCGGGGAUGACGUCAAAUCAGCACGGCCCUUACGUCCGGGGCGACACACGUGUUACAAUGGCAGGUACAGCGGGAAGCCACCUGGCGACAGGGCGCGGAACCCGAAAACCUGUCUCAGUUCGGAUUGGAGUCUGCAACCCGACUCCAUGAAGCUGGAUUCGCUAGUAAUCGCGCAUCAGCCACGGCGCGGUGAAUACGUUCCCGGGCCUUGUACACACCGCCCGUCAAGCCAUGGAAGCCGGGAGUGCCUGAAGUGCGUGACCGCAAGGAGCGUCCUAAGGCAAUACCGGUGACUGGGGCUAAGUCGUAACAAGGUACC